rnacentral:hammerhead_ribozyme from 1 species
AUCCAUCUGACGAGUCCCAAAUAGGAUGAAAUGCACAUCAGAUUGAAU